GGGGCAUAGCUGGGUAGCUAUGUCUGGCCUGGAUAAGCGCUGAAAGCAUCUAAGCGCGAAGCCACCCUCAAGAUGAGGUUUCCCAUCGGCACUAAUUUUAGUGCCGGGUAAGACCCCUGGAAGACUACCAGGUAGAUAGGCCGGAGGUGUAAGGGCAGCAAUGUCUUUAGCUGACCGGUACUAAUAGGUCGAGGGCUUGACCUUAAACAAUACCAA
rnacentral:rRNA from 1 species